UACCGCUGCCUCCUUUGCAUCACUUUCUCUUACAAUUAUAUUUUAUCUAAUUCUUGCAUGGCAGAGAGCCUACUUACACAAGAGAUAUCCGAUCUCUGUCUAGGCAAGCCUGCACUGAGGUCUCUCCCGNNNNNNUGAAGCUCUCUCCGCUCUUAAGAACUUCGAUGAUAACUUCUUAAGCGUCUGGAGUUGUGACCACGCGCGUAAAACAAUUACUGGGUUUGAAGCUGAUGCUGAUGAAAAUGAGUGUAAAUGUGUUGGGAAGGUGAGCAUGGUGGAUGUCAUAUGCUAUCUUUGCAAGGAUGAGAACUUGAUGUGCCCUUCCACUGCCUUGAAAGCUCCUCUCUCUGUUCUGUUGCCUAAGAUUCCUGGCCUUGUCACGCAUGCAGAACCAUCUGCGAGCUUAUUAGGAGCAAUUGAUCUGAUCCU
rnacentral:misc_RNA from 1 species